rnacentral:rRNA from 1 species
ACGGGUGAGUAACACUUGGGCAAUCUGCCCUCGAGAGGGAGACAACCUGCCGAAAGGCGGGCUAAUAUCCCGUAAGACCACAGGGUCGCAUGACCUAGAGGUCAAAGCUCCGCAAGGGGCGCUUGAGGAGGAGCCCGAGGCCUAUCAUGGUAGUUGGCGGGGUAACGGCCCACCAAGCCGUUGACGGGUAGCCGGCCUGAAAGGGUGAUCGGCCACACUGGCACUGAGACACGGGCCAGACUCCUACCGGAGGCAGCAGUGGGGAAUUUUGGACAAUGGGGGCAACCCUGAUCCAGCGACGCCGCGUGGAGGACGAAGGUCUUCGGAUUGUAAACUCCUUUUGGAGGGGACGAAUGUCUGCGUGAAAAACGCAGGGUGACGGUACUCUCUGAAUAAGCCACGGCUAACUACGUGCCAGCAGCCGCGG